AACCAUUCUCACCUGCGGCUAGACCUGCGGAAGGAUCAUUACCGAGUUAGGGUAGUCACACUGCCCGACCUCCCAACCCUGUGUCUACCAUACCUUGUCGUUGCUUCGGCGGACCGGUUGACCAACUGGUCAUGACCGCCGGGGGCUGGCUCUGUCCCCCCUGGAGAGCGUCCGCCGAUGGCCCAACCACAAAACUCUUGUACCGAAACGUGUCGUCUGAAUUAUGUUUGAGAAAUCCAA
rnacentral:misc_RNA from 1 species